CUCCUUUCCGCUCCAACGCACGGAGGGUGAGGUCGGUGCGCGGUGGCGUCACGGCGCCAGCUCCUCCCGACGCCGAGAUUUGGUAACUCGAGGCGUCCCUGGAGUACACUGAGGAUAAGUGUUUGAGAAAUGCUGUCUGAAGGAAUGAAGUCAGUCUAUGACAACGUCUCUCUGCCGUGAAUCAUUCCUGCAGAUGAAAAAGUGUGACUUGGCAGCUGCCAAUCUAAAAAGGGCCCUCAGGAUCGCCCACAAUGCCCAGCUUAGCUUCUUGACAAACACCUUAAUGGCGCAGCAUUGCCUGUUGGCUGCCAUCGGCUCUUGAGUGGGUGAGGAGCCACCAGUGGUGCAGGAGCAGUUGGGGUCCAUUUCGAGCCGCGGUAAGGCUGGAGAUCUCAAGCGAUAACGGAGAGACAGCAAGGCGCACGUGGACGGCGUGUUCACCAAUUACCAAACUUUUUGACCUGAGCAACUAGAAGAAUGGAGUUGCCAUUAUUUGACACAAAGAAGACUGCAGGAGGGACAAGUUUGAGUAGAAAUAUGAAGAGCUCAC
rnacentral:sRNA from 1 species